CAUCCUCCUAAAAAAAUACAAAUCCUAGCCGCCCCUAAUUCCCUGAUGCUCUGAAGAGAGAAUAAUUCGCCCACCUUCCUCUCACACGCUUUUUCUCUUCUCACGUCUCUCUGAUUUCAUCGACACAUACAUUCAAAACAAGGACGAGAGAUGAAAAACGGAUUUGAAAACUAAAAUGACACUCUAAGAUCUGAAACAAGAGGCUCUCUGUUAAUUUCUGGUUUUAAGGAGAAUUCAGAUUCAAAUCGUUAUUCGAUUCCGCUGGUUUUUGCUGUUUCUGGAAUUGCCGAGUUCCGUUCGAGUUUGCUUCUGCCUUUAUUUGGUUUAUUCUAGCUUUUCUUUGUUCAACCAGUUGGCAGAAUUGAUAAAGAAAGGAUUUGUUCAAGUUGGAGAUGUAAGCAAGGUAUUAUGUGAAGAUCUCAGUCGAUAACAUGAGCAAGUUGGCAAUCGACGGAGCUGCGAUUGUAAUGCAACCGUGAAACGAAAAAACGACAUCAGAACCAGUGUUGUGAAAAGCGGGCGCUUCCUCGCUUAAAGAGAAAAGCGAAGCGAGGUGACCCAACCACCGCUUCUGCUAUCUGAAGCGUAGUAGGUAUUCAAAAGCGGUCGCUUCCCACUAAAAAGCGAGAAGCGGCGAUGCGAAGCGAGGCGACUGAAGCGAGCGCUUCUCUGUUUUAAAGGGCUGCCAACCUUUUUAAUUAAAAAAAGUUGUUCUUUUAUUAAAACAUAUCGACCAGCAGCAACAGAGAAAGAAAGAGGCGACUAGAAUUCCAAGUUUUCUACACUUUUCAACUUCAAGAUCAUCAAGUUUAGUCCAGUUAUACUGCCCUUUUUCGUAAUUGAUGAAGAAGAAGAAGUUGAAGAAGAUGACGAGCAAUAUAAUAAUGAUAGUGGAAUACAAGAAUUUGAUAAUCUUG